rnacentral:piRNA from 1 species
UGAGUAAAAAACGAGCGAUUCAAGGGCAC